rnacentral:tRNA from 1 species
AAUGUAGCUUAGUUGUUUGAGUGCUUGCCUAGCAUGCAUGAAAUCCUGGGUUCUAGCCCCCAGCAUU